rnacentral:rRNA from 1 species
UACGGAGGGUGCAAGCGUUAUCCGGAUUCACUGGGUUUAAAGGGUGCGUAGGAGGGCAGGGAAGUCCGUGGUGAAAUCCUAGAGCUUAACUCUAGAACUGCCGUGGAUACUCUCUGUCUUGAAUCCCGUGGAGAUGAGCGGAAUAUGUCAUGUAGCGGUGAAAUGACUUAGAUAUGACAUAGAACACCAAUUGCGAAAGGCAGCUCGUUACACGAAGAUUGACUCUGAGGCACGAAAGCGUGGGGAUCAAACAGG